AUUGAACGCUGGCGGCAGGCCUAACACAUGCAAGUCGAGCGAGCGGCGGACGGGUGAGUAAUGUAUGGGCAUCUGCCUGAUGGCGGGGGAUCACUACUGGAAACGGUAGCCAAUUCCGCAUACCAUCACAUGAACCCAUAUGGGUUUAGCUAGUAGUGGAGGUAUCGGCUUACUAGGGCGACGACCCCUAGCUGGUGUGAGAGGAUGAUCAGCCACACUGGGACUGAGACACGGCCCAGACUCCUACGGGAGGCAGCAGUGGGGAAUAUUGCCCAAUGGGCGCAAGCCUGAUGCAGCCAUGCCGCGUGAAUGAAGAAGGCCUUCGGGUUGUAAAGUACUUUCAGUCGGGAGGCGUUACCGACAGAAGAAGCACCGGCUAACUCCGUGCCAGCAGCCGCGGUAAUUC
rnacentral:rRNA from 1 species